rnacentral:rRNA from 1 species
UACAGAGGUGGCAAGCGUUGUUCGGAAUUACUGGGCGUAAAGGGCGCGUAGGCGGCUUGGUCAGUCCCGUGUGAAAUCCCUCGGCUCAACUGAGGAACUGCACGGGAAACUGCCUGGCUUGAGUUCGGGAGGAGGGAAGCGGAAUUCCGGGUGUAGCGGUGAAAUGCGUAGAUAUCCGGAGGAACACCGGUGGCGAAGGCGGCUUCCUGGACCGACACUGACGCUGAGGCGCGAAAGCUAGGGGAGCAAACGGG